GUGAGGGAAUGCCAGGGCCAGGAAGUGGGAGUGUGUAGAAGUUUCAAAAGGCAUCAGUAACCGAACAGCCUGUCUAGAUUGUCUUGCAGUUUGAAUGCAUAUGUGCUCUCCUGAGAUUUGGACAGAAGUGGGAGUAAUCUGAGAUGCAUGCUAAAAGAUUGACACUUCUAAGUGCACAGACAGCUGCAUCUUUUUCCGUGAGAUCUUUUUAUCAGCAUCUGCUCUCUAUCACAGCAGCUACCUAAUGUUGAGAGAGUCCUGCUUGGAAAUUGCUGAAAGAAAACAGUUCAGAGAACAACCACAAUCUUGGGUCCGUUUGUUCAGGUUUCCCUCCUUACCUGGAUUACUUGUGCACUUCUCAGAACUGGUUUGGGCUCCUCUGACAGUGGCUGAUUUUGUCUGGUCAGUUCUCCUAAUACCAGCUUGAUUGCUCCCGGCAUUGGAUAGAGGUAUAGAACCCCUAGGGAACAGUUAGGGGAAGGAUCUGAAGAGCUGAAGCAGAUAUCAACUCCAUAGGAAGACGAACAGUGUCAACUAACCUGGACCCCUGGGAGCUCCCAGAGACUAAGCCACCAACCAAGAGCACACAGAGGCUGGGCUAAGGCCUCAGACACAUAUGUAGAGGAGGACUGCCUUGUCUGGGACAAAGAGGACCGUGCCUAAUCUUGUAGAGAGCUGAUGUCUCAGAGAAGGAGGAUGACUGGGGGAAGGGCGGGUCACCCUCUCAGAGAUGAGAAUGUAAAGUGGAUUAAAAAAAAAACCUCAUAAAGCACC